AUGGCUUUUCCCAAGCUUUGCUUCAUUUUCUCUUUCAUGGUGGUAUUGGCAGUCUCGAGCACCCAAAUGAGCCAAGCAGCUCGCCACCUUUUGGACACACCAGCAAAACCGCCACCACUGGCAAUCCCUACAAUCCCAUCUCUGCCAAACCUCACACUGCCCCCGUUGCCCUCGCUACCGACACUGCCCUCGAAUCCCUCCUUGCCUACACUUCCCACUGCCCCAACUCUGCCAAAGCCCACAUUGCCUACCUUGCCCACAACACUACCUCCAUUGCCAGCCAACCCACAAUUGCCCACACUCCCAACAUUCCCUAAAGUCCCCACCAUUAAUAUUCCUUCUACAAUUCCAACAAUUCCCUUCUUCUCCCCACCCCCAUCAAAAUGA
rnacentral:lncRNA from 1 species